CUGCAUGGCAGGUGUUCCAGUGCAUGUGUGCUUCAGGCUAGCGGUUCUUUGGCAACUUGGCUUGUUUGUUACUUCUCUACAGGUCGACAGUAAACUAAACCAACCUUGAAAUUGGUUAUUAUGCUGUUUGAAACGACACAAAGCCACAAGUGAUUGUCGUAAGCAGUUGUAUCUUUCCCCUUUUACAGUGCCCAUUUUAUUGUAGGCUUAGCAAAGUGCUGCUGAUGUUCACAGUUUGCAGUUCAAAUUCCUUAUUGCGCUGUAAUAAUGUCGUUUAAAUUCAGUUCAGUUCAAUAAUACUAAACUACACACGGUAAUCAUGCUGUUUAAAAUUGCAUUGCGCUGUUCUUUGAUUAUAGUGUGUCAUGUUAUCUGUUUUGUGGGUCAGUUGCAGUAAAAGGAUGCAUCAUAAAUGCAAAGCAUUCGUUUCACUGGAUAGUAAUGGCAUCUGCUCUUGUAUUGCCCUUUCUCCCCAGAUAAUAAAACUAUUGUGGUAUUUUUGUCAUUCUCCUCAACGGGACAUCCAUGUGGCGACAUGAUGAGGGGCCUUCAUUUACUGCCGACAUAGAUGAGGUUCUGAUCAAGAAGGUGAUGCAACGCCCAUGCUCAACCUGGAGGAAGGAGGUUCUCCGGGAGCCAGCAAUUCCAGACUUCCAGAACAGAUGGCACUUUUUGAUGCCAGCGAGAUCAAUUUGGAAUUCAUGUAAAUUGCCACUGUACCUCUGACCUCAAUUCUUUGGUGAACUGGACUAUCGGGCAAGUGGCCUUAUCCGGAUCUUCUGUACCGAAGGUGGAGCUGUAGGACGGAAGAUCUCUGCCAUAAUGACCCACAUGGGACAUGAUGCCGGCGAACUGUCUGUGUAUGAACUUCAGCGACUUGAACAUGAGAGAGAAGGUUUUUUUGUCAUCUUUGAAGAUUUCACAAGCAUGUGGACAUGCAGCAGAGGAUCUCCGGACUCGGGAUGCAAGUGAGGCCAAAGCAAGAUAAUGAAGACCUUGAAUGCAGACAGGCCUAGGCAGACACUGCUGAGAAGACCAUGGGCAUCUACACAGUCCGGACAGAGGGUGAUGGUCUAGGCCAGGGGU